rnacentral:ribozyme from 14 species
UGAAAAGAAAGAGAUACACCAAAAAGAAAUACAGCAAAUAAAAUGGAACAUGUUCGGUAAUAUGAUUGUUAUACGAUUGUGAUGAUCGUCGUUGUUUAUGUUUUUGCUUGCUGAUAAGUUG